GGCUGGAUGGCCGAGCGGUCUAAGGCGGUAGACUCAAGAAUGUUCUACUCUCGAAAGAGGCGCGCGUUCGAAUCGCGCUCCAGUCA